rnacentral:rRNA from 1 species
UACGGGGGGGGCAAGCGUUGUUCGGAAUUACUGGGCGUAAAGGGCUCGUAGGCGGCCAACUAAGUCAGACGUGAAAUCCCUCGGCUUAACCGGGGAACUGCGUCUGAUACUGGAUGGCUAGAGGUUGGGAGAGGGAUGCGGAAUUCCAGGUGUAGCGGUGAAAUGCGUAGAGAUCGGGAGGAACACCAAAGGCGAAAGCAGCCUUCUGGGCCAACACUGACGCUCAUGCACGAAAGCGUGGGGAGCAAACAGG